GAGCAGGUUGAGCUUCCUCCAUGGACUUAUAUCGUUAAGACCACAAGAUUCAAGGAGUUGGCUCCUUAUGAUCCUGACUGGUACUAUGUCAGAGCUGCCUCGAUGGCAAGGAAGAUCUACUUGAGGGGAGGACUCGGUGUUGGUGCCUUCCGCAGGAUUUAUGGUGGAAGCCAGAGGAAUGGUAGUCGUCCACCACAUUUCUGCGAGAGCAGUGGUGCUAUUGCCCGACACAUUCUCCAACAGUUACAGAAAAUGAACAUCGUUGAUGUUGACCCAAAGGGGUGA